rnacentral:lncRNA from 1 species
AUGAUUGUAUGAAAAUGAUACUGUGUGGAAUGUGAAAGUUGUGAGGUUUGGUGUAGUGUCCUGUUAUUCGGGCUCGGCAAUCGGGGCAGGUAUAGGGUGUUACAGAUUUUUUUUUGGUACUUCCUUAUUUUUUUGUAUUUCCUUAUAAUUUUUUUAUAAUUCCUCAUAUUUUUUGUACUUCUUCAUGUUUUUAGUACUUUCUACGAUUUUUUGUCACUUCCUCGUAAAUUUUUUUAUUUCCUCAUAAUAUUUUUAUAUUUCCUCAUUUUUUUGUUAUUCCCUCCUAAUUUUUUAUUCUUCCUCUCUGUGUUUUUUGGUGCUCGAGUUUUUUGGUAUUUUCUCAUUUUUUUUGUAUUCCCUCAUAACUUUUGGUGGUUAGUCAUUUUUUUUGUACUUUCUUAUAUGUUUUGUAUUCUCUCAUUUGGUAUUUCCAAAAAUUUUUUGGUACUUCAUUUUUUUUAGUAUACCUUCAAAAUUUUAGGUAUGGUUUCGAAAUGACGAUUUGGAAUGAGAUAUAUUUUUUGGGUAAAAAAAUUAUUUUUAAAUAUUAAAAAAAUUCCAAU